rnacentral:lncRNA from 1 species
CGUCCGUCCAUAUCCGUUGCAUGUCCGUUAAGCGUCCGUUUUAUCCGUUGCAUGUCCGUUAAGCGUCCGUUUUAUCCGUCGACGUCCGUUCUGUCCGGUGGAAAAUUUUGAGCAUGUUCAAAACUUUGAACGGACGUCUAACGGAUAAAAUGUCCGUUGAACGUCCGUUAGACGUCCGUUAGGCGUCCGUUUUGUACGGUACUCGUCCGUUUCGUUUCCGUUUUGUAUCCGUUACGUGUCCGUUAUACAUCCGUUGGAGGUCUGGCAGAUAAAUUCACCAACGGACUUCUAACGGACGUCUAACGGAUAAAACGGAUGAGAAACGGACUUCUAACGGACGUAUAACGGACAUAACGGAUGAUGAACGGAUCUGAAACGGAUAAAAUUGAUGCCAAUUGAAAAUUUCUCGUCAGAAAUGCCAAAAAUAUUUCUUAAGGUUCAUGAAUUCUUAUUAUUCAUAAUCGAUCUUAGAGUAAGGGCACAUCUUCACAAUCAAUCAGCUGUUAAACUUUAAUAUUCAGGUCAGACACUACCCUUUAGCGGCAUUUUGAAGAACAAACAAAAACCAGUUACACAGAACUUUGACAAAUAGAUUUGCUUUCA